UCAAAGGGAAGAAAAGAUGAUGAGGAAGGAGAAAAAGCAUAUGAAGACGACGAAGAAAAACUGUAAGUAAAGAAAAUUCAGCAUGCUUACCUCAGAAUCUCCACCAAAUAUGAUCUGUGUAUGCCGAUGAUGACUUCCAAAACUGAGAUGUUGUCACUCUCCUCUUCAAAAAAACCACAGUGCUGAAGCUUUCCCCCACACUCUCAACUCAGAAGAUGCUACUGACCUUUUGUUUUUCUCACCAGCAAAAUUUCCCCUCUCCAAAAUGUCCCCUCUUGUCCUUUG
rnacentral:lncRNA from 1 species